CAUCGCCUCUUGACCUUAUAAGAAGUCCCGUCUGCCCUGUGACAUAGUUUAACGGCUGCAGUAACACAACUGCACAAAGGUAGCGUAAUCACUUGUCUUUUAAUUGAAGACCUGUAUGAAUGGCAUCACGAGGAUUUAACUGUCUCUAUUUUCUAAUCAAUAAAAUUGUUUUCUUCGUGCAGAAACGAAGAUGCUUAUAUAAGACGAGAAGACCCUGUGGAGCUUCAAGUAAACUAAGAGUGCCUCAAACACACCAACUUUACGCUUACUUUUGGUUGGGGCGACCAUGAAAAAUAAAAUAACUUUCAUAAGGAAUAGAAUAUCCUUAAACACGAACGACAGUUCUAAUUAUCAGAAUCUCUGACCCCCAAGACCCAGCAUGUCUGAUUAAUGAACCAAGUUACCCCAGGGAUAACAGCGCAAUUUUCUUCAAGAGCCCUUAUCGACAAGAAAGUUUACGACCUCGAUGUUGGAUCAGGACAUCCCAAUGGUGCAACCGUCAUUAAUGGUUCGUUUGUUCAACGAUUAAAGUCCUACGUG
rnacentral:rRNA from 1 species